AGAGAAAAAAAAACUUUGAACGGAGAAAGAAAAGAAAUAAAAGAAAGAAAACCUUUCACGACUCUUCUCCUCCAUUAGCCUCGCGUCUCCAUCGAGUUUUUCUCCGUCUGUUAAUGAAAAAAAAAAAUCCGACGAACACUGAUAGUGAAACUUUCUCUCACUAUAUUCGCGAAGAAGACACCAUCAUCGAAUCGAAUUCAGAUCACACAAUACGCCAUAGAUAACUCAACUACAGAUCUGUUAUCUCGAUCGGAAACCGCCGUAACUCGACAUCCUCUCUUUCGAUCUGAUUCCAUAACCGUGAAGCCUCUCCCGAAUCUCUCGUUCCAGCGUCUUUAUCCUCCUACAAAGCUAAUGUUCAGUCCUCUUCUCUCCGUCGUCCUUCAUCCGGAGAUCUACUCACUUCUUCCGGCGAUUUCCUCCGUCUCUGGGAUAUUAACCAAGAUUCUUCCACAGUUGAGCCUAUCUCGGUUCUCAACAACAGGAAAAUGAAGAUCCUUUUCAUGAUGUAAAGAGCAAAGAAGAGACAAGUAAACCCCUUUAUGAUUCACUCCUUUCAGGUAAGUAUUAUUUCCCUUAUACUCUUAUUAAACCUUUAGGUCUGCAGCUAUUGAUGCAUAUUUGUUUCAAACUUAAUUUGGUUCAAUCUGUUUGAUUCUUAGAACCUCCUGAUUUAAGUAUUUGGUUUUCAAGCUAUGUCUAUGAAUCACCGAUGCUGGAUGGUUUUUGUGAAGAAAGGGUCUAAGAAGAAGGUUAGUUUUUAAAAAAAAAUUUAUAAAACAUCUCUUGUCAUAUCCCUCGUAAAUCAUAAUGCAUCAUGACUUCUUUCUAUUGUGUUUUCUCUUGUAGUGAUGUUACGUAAUAUAUAUACUCUUGUAGUGAUGUUAAGUAACAUAUAUAAAUCCCAAGGUUUGCUUUUUUUUUUUUUUUUUCCGUAAUACUUUAGUUUAGUAAACAUGAAUUGAAGUUCUGCAUAUGUAAUGAUAUGGUUAUCUGUUGAUUGUAAAUCUUAUUGGCUAUUACAAGUUAUACUAGUUUGGUUUAUGUCCUCAGAUUUGGUCUCACUAUAAGUGUUUCUGCCGCUUUUAUAUGUUGUAGAACCAGUGAUGUUAUCGAGCCUAUGAUAAAGCCCCGGUGGUAUGUUAAUGGCAACAUGAUUGGGAAGGAAGCUCUUGGUGUUGCCACCACUGAUGAAAAAAAGAAGCCCGAGUUUAUACCAAAGCAAUACACAGCAGAAUGGUGAAGCAACAUGUCCUAUUGAGGAUGCAACAGGUCCAGGCUCUCCAACUAAGAAAACUCUACCGCAUUCACAGGAAUAUCAAGUAAAUGUUUUCGAUAUGUUAUGAAGUUGUUUCUGUCAAGUCAUAUGAUUGUUGGUUGGGUUCUAAUGCAGUUAAAGUGUGGGUAGAUAUUGUCAAGGUAAGCGAUGCAGCAGUUUGGAGGCCAUCAGAAGAAAUCGAGAUGAUGGAAGAUGCCCUUGGCACAGUCAUUGCAUGGCCAGAGGACAAAGUGAUCAUUAUGUCUUAAAUUAACCAUGAGGUUUACUGUCUCCUACUUUAGACUUACAAUCUAUCUUAUGGAUUUGCUUUUUAUCUUCAGACUUGUCUUGUUCCUUAUGGAUUUUAAACUUGUGUUAUGUACUAUGUAUUAUGUUUGAUUGUGAAAUGGUGAAUUAGGGAUUUAAUAUUAAUA